UACGUAGGGCGCAAGCGUUGUCCGGAAUUAUUGGGCGUAAAGAGCUCGUAGGCGGUCUGUCGCGUCCGUUGUGAAAACUCGAGGCUCAACCUCGGGCUUGCAGUGGAUACGGGCAGACUAGAGUGCUGUAGGGGAGACUGGAAUUCCUGGUGUAGCGGUGGAAUGCGCAGAUAUCAGGAGGAACACCGAUGGCGAAGGCAGGUCUCUGGGCCGCAACUGACGCUGAGGAGCGAAAGCAUGGGGAGCGAACAGG
rnacentral:rRNA from 1 species